AAAACUGUUUGUUUGUACCCCCAUGCAAUGUUAGGCUAAGUGAAUUUAUUAUGUUUGAUCUUAGGAAGAAUAAUGGGACAUUCAUUCAUUCAUGGUGGACCGUGUGUGUCUGGUAUAAGUCCUGCAAUCAUCCAUGUCCUUUUUGGUGGCUCACCUGAAACAGCUACAGUUCAGAUUGAGGAUUGCCCUGAUAUUGAUAUCCGCAGCACUAUUUAGCUGCUUGAUGGCACUGCUGAAUUAACAGAACUGGAACGAAGAAAUGUUCUCGAGCUAGCCCUGACUUGGGACCUGCCAGGUGUCACACAAACCAAUAGAAAGUGGCUGUAUGAACGUCUGCUAUUCCACGCUGUCAUAACACGAACAAGCCGUCAAGUCAAGCAGCUGAGGAAAGGGCUUAAGGAGACCAUGGUAUG